GUUAGAUUUUAUUUUAUAGCAAGGUGCUGAGUGACAAAGUGACACAGUCAGUCUUCUUAGAAAGAAGCUUUGGCUGUACCACAGAGGAUGUUUGGUAGGUGGCUGGGGAUAGGAGCAGGCAAUGCAAUGGAGCAAGAUGGCAGUUGUCACAGAUGUGAUAUAUGAAGGCAUCUUGUCAUGUAUCACACAGGAAAUGGCAAGAGAGAUAUUAAGGAUGCCUUAUCAAAAAGCCUUGUGAAUGAUUUCAUGUGGAGGUGAUAAAUGAGAAGAUGCACAAUUCUGGCUUAAACGUGUGAGUGAAGGGAGGUAUGAAUCACUGUGGUAGGUAAUUAAGGAGGCAGAACAAGAUGUGGAAUUCAACAGAUACACUGGGUUUCAGGUGCUAAUGAGCUAUCCAAAGAGAAACUGUCUAGCAAUGUGCAGUCCAGCUGUGAGAUAUUGGGUAAAAUUAUGAAUUUGGGAUUUAUCAGUGUAUAGUAAUAAAUGAAUCUUUGGGCAUGGAUGAGACCUUCUUGAGAGAGAACUUAGGUGAGGACAGAGCAAAUGAGGUAAUUUAAAGCUCUGGGACUUGUUGACAACAACUGAGAAGAUAAGAAAUAGAGAAUUAUAAAUAGAUACUAAAGACAAAGUAAGUCUUUGACUAAGUCCUAAUUAUUUUUGAGAACUUGGCUCAGAAAUUUUUCCCUCUAAACUAUCAUAAGUAUCUUCAAAAAUGGUGAAGUCUGUACAGCACUGUAUUAAUUUCCUGGGGCUGUUGUAACAAAUUAGCACAAACGUGGUGGCUUAAAACAACAGACACUUAUUCUUUUACAGUUCUGGAAGCCAGAAAUCCAAAAUCAAGGUGCUGGCAGGACCAUACUCCCUUUGAAGGGUUUUGGAGAGAAUCCAUUCCUUGCUUUUUCCAGCUUCUGGUGGCUGUCAGCAUUCUUUUCCUUGUGGCACACCUCUCUCUGCUCUGUCUCCACCUUACCUUCUCCUGCAGGUGUCUGCCUUAAAGUUCCCUACGUCCCUCCCCUCUGAAGACACACUGGAUUACAUUUAGGAUCCACACAAAUAAUCUAGUAUAAUCCAUCAUAAACUCCACUCAAGAUCAUUAACUUAAUCACGUCUUGUACAAGGCUGCCAGGACUUAGAAGAAAAACAAUUUUCCCAAAACAACGAUAAAGCAGCCAAGAGGAAAAAUCUAAUAAAGUUGCCAAGGAAUGACGGUGCUCUAGGAACAGUUGGUUGAAUCCACAGAUGCACAACUCACAGAUACAGAGGCCUGGCCACAUACUAUGCUGGUAUGCUUUUGGCUUUGUUUAAAAAUCUCUCUCCCUUAUGUAGUAAAUAUGGAUUGUAAAAGAUUGUAUACUGAAUUGGUAUUUCUACUUGCUUCUCACAAUCUUUGAAUUGUCCACCUAAUAUAGGUGGAGGUUAUGUUAACGUAGAGAAUCAGGAAGUAACAUAGAAAGGGUACUUAUUCUUUUCACCAGGGCUAAUACUGUCAUCAAAUAACAGAUUGUCCACAUCAGAAAAACUUGAGGGCUUCCACAGAAGCUUUGGGAGAUUUAUGUAACGCCUCCCCAAGGGCUGGCGGUGCUGCGCAUAUACUUAUGACAUACUGCCAAAUUUUGCUUCCAUGCUGGUCCCUCCAUGACCUGGUACUUUUAUAAACCAGUAUCAAACAUAGUGCAUGGCCAAUAAUCAGUAAAUGCUUUUGUAGUACUAGACUGAUGUUAUCGUCUGAUAGGUCCUACAUUAUUUUAACUCCUUAGAAAAUCACUUUGGCUGUAUCUUGUUUCAAUCCAUGAUCUUCAAAAGUGUUCAUAACCUUUAUUUAUUCAUUCUUAUUAUAUAUAUUCACUCACACACAUAUAUAUAGAUCAGAUUACUUGAAGCAUGACUCUGCCUGCUGAUAGAUAGAUGGAAAAAAAUGAUCCAGAAAUUUUGAAGAAUAAUGUAGAUUUCAUUGCAGGGUUUUUCCCUAGCACAGGACAUAGAAAACUUCUACGAACCCUUCUCAGACACUUCGUGUGCCCACAAUUUUCAACAGAAAGUAACCAUUUAAGUCUCUCACACUCUCUCCUCGCUCAUGAUCACAUACUCCCCCACCCCCGCCCCAGUACUCUUUCGCUUCUUCCUUCAUCACUUUCAGCAACGGCUUCCUCAAGGGCUAUCCCACAGUCCCCUAAGAAACACAGUUCACCUUCAGUCCCACUCGCCGUGCUUGCUCCCCACCUAGCUCACAUAAACACACCCAAGGCUCCUCCGCAGAGUCCCCAGUGUCCAAGUUCAAGUUCAGGAUCCCUGGCCUGCUCACUGUCCCGGUCAUAAAGUUCAUGAAGUCAUUCAACUCCAGCAUUUCCUUCAUAUGUGGCUGAAACUCCUACGGAACACCUCUCUCAUCUGAAUUUAUAGUUCAAAGAAUAUCAGUAUUUUAAAAGAGCCUCAAAGUCACAGGGCUGUCUCUGUCAAUUGAUACAUGGGUAAACUGAGACCCUGAGAGAGGAGCAUGUGAUCAGCCACAGACGCUGUCAGUGACACCCUGUUAGGACGAGAAGGAGCUUCCUGCAAAUCGACUUAAAAUCUACUGCGUGCUCCCUUCCCACCCUGACUUCCUGUGACAUCACUGAUCCUCACGUCUGAGAAACUCCCUGCUGCACCGAGUGACCCUGCUGAAGCCCACCACAACACGCUUUAGCCCCUCAAAUCCUGCUACCCCUAAGGGUUGAAUCCUCCCCUGUCCUUUCUCGAUAGCCCGUGAGUUCACUGACACGGGGAUGAUGCCAUUUCUACUGGUGAGUGCCAAGCACUUACUAGGAGCUGACAUAUUUGUAGAACUCAGACUUUGAACCAAAGCUUUAAAUCCAAAUUCUUCAACAAGUAAUCACUUAAGGCUUUAAGUUAAAACAUGCCUAAGUUAAAACAUUCUUAUUAUGCGAAUAAACCUAAAUCAUGGAGCUUAGACAUCACAUUCAUUCUUUAAACAAAUAUUUAUUAAGAACGUAUAUUUGACAAAUAUUUGUUAAUAAACUCUAUGCUAAAUGGGGUGCUAAGAAAGAGAAGGAUGGGGACAGGUUGAACUCUGGUACCAAGGAUGGUCCCGAGCAGCAUUAAUGAGAAACAAGCAAUCAUGUGAAGAGGAACCAGGAAGAGGGAGGGGGCAAAACUCCACACAGAUGGAACAAAGUACCUUAGAAAAUAUUAUAUCAGUUAUCAUUACAUCUAAUAUGACUGUGAUGUGAGCUACUCAACUUCAGUUAUAGAAUUUCUAUAAAAUAUUUUGAUUCACAUAUAUUCAAUACAUGUAUACACAAAUUAAUUUUAAAUAUGUCCAAUAUUAAUAAAUUGAAUUUGAGUUUCAAUGUAGGAUAUGUGUAGACUGAAUAACAGCUAAGCCUUGGCAAUCUAUUUCCUAUCCUCAACAAAUAAAUACAUUACAGUCAGUACAUUCUUUUACUAGACCCAUCUUAGAACUUAUGUCCUAAGUCAAUUAAGCAUUUAAAUUUAUUUGGGGUCAGAAAUUAUAAAGCAAUUCAGAACAAACAAAAGUAUUAUAAAUAACUUAUGCAGAUAGAAACAUGAGGAGAAAAAAUUAAGACAUUUCACUUAUAAAAUUUGUCAUCUGUGACACUAUAAUAACAGCAAGGACUUUAUAAAGGAUACUCACUAUUUAAUCAGUUUUUUAUAUAUCCAUCUUCAUUUCAGCUUCUGUUAAUUUACAUAAGCCAAAUAUCCUCUACCAAUAUUUAUUUAUCUGAGGCAGGCAUGCUUACAUAUUCAACUUGCCUUUUUCUUAAACAAUUAAAUGUGAAAACAAAAACAAAAACUAUAGUAGCACUCAAGUAUUAUAUGGGCCAGGCAAAUUAUCUUGCUCUUGGGUUAAGGGUACAACAAUGUUGUUUUACCAAUAUCUAUUUUAACAGCCUGAAGUUUUUACUUCCAUCAGGCUGAAUUUGCAAAGAAUCCUAAGAAUCAAUGAGGACUUUCUUUCAAGGGUAAGUUAGGAGGACUAUCUAACAUAUUUUUACAACUUGCCAUUAAAGUCCUUAUCUAAACCUUACCAAAGGUUGCCAGGUUGUUAACUGUGUUCUCUAAAUCGUGUCCUUAUUGCAGAUCUCAUCUGUGUUUGUGCUUCUUUGUCUUUGAGGUACCUGCUCAUUUAUCCUCUCCAAUAGAUUACUCCAUGGGAAGCAGCAGCUGAAGUUUCUCUUGCAGGGACAGAGCCUUUCCUGGAAAGAAGAGACUGAUUCUCUCCAGGACACAAGCAGAUGGUCGCACUCUCAGAAGGUCCCACAGAGAUUCACCUCUGUCAUGCAAAAUUUCUCUGACAAGUGGGAGGAGGCAGGUGGGAAGAGGAAGCCGCUGAGCCCUUUUCUUAAGGAAAGAAAAUGAGCUUACUGAACACAAAGGGCACGGAGGCAGAAGAUGAGCCCCAUAUGGCAGAGAAGGUGAAUGCAAUCAAAAGACAGGUGCAUUCCACCUGCUCCUGUGCAGCUACCUUAG